rnacentral:rRNA from 1 species
AUUGAACGCUAGCGGGAUGCCUUACACAUGCAAGUCGAACGGAGUGGCGAACGGGGGAGUAAUGUAUCGGAACGUGCCCAGUAGCGGGGGAUAACUACGCGAAAGCGUAGCUAAUACCGCAUACUCUUGGAACGGCCGUUAUCGGCGUGGAUAGUGGGGGGGGUAACGGCUCAGCAAGGCGCCGAUCCGUAGCUGGUUUGAGAGGUCGACCAGCCACACUGGUACUGGGACACGGCCCAGACUCCUACGGGAGGCAGCAGUGGGGAAUUUUGGACAAUGGGGGAAACCCUGAUCCAGCCAUGCCGCGUGUGCGAUGAAGGCCUUCGGGUUGUAAAGCACUUUCGGCAGGAAAGCGGUACCUGCAGAAUAAGCACCGGCUAACUACGUGCCAGCAGCCGCGGUAAUUC